rnacentral:rRNA from 1 species
AGCGAACGCUGGCGGCAGACCUAACACAUGCAAGUCGAGCGGCCGUAGCAAUACGGCAGCGGCAGACGGGAGAGUAACACGUGGGAACGCGCCCUUCGGUUCGGGAUAACUCAGGGAAACUUGGGCUAAUACCGGAUACGCCCUUACGGGGAAAGAUUUAUUGCCGAAGGAACGGCCCGCGUCCGAUUAGCUUGUUGGUGAGGUAACGGCUCACCAAGGCGACGAUCGGUAGCUGGUCUGAGAGGAUGACCAGCCUCACUGGGACUGAGACACGGCCCAGACUCCUACGGGAGGCAGCAGUGGGGAAUAUUGGACAAUGGGCGCAAGCCUGAUCCAGCCAUGCCGCGUGGGUGAUGAAGGCCCUAGGGUUGUAAAGCCCUUUCAGCGGGGAAGAUAAUGAUGGUACCCGCAGAAGAAGCCCCGGCUAACUUCGUGCCAGCCGCCGCGGUAACAC